AGGUGAGGAGACACAGAGUGGAGGAGGUGAGGGGACACAGAGUGGGGGGUUUAAGGAGCAGACAGGUGAGGAGACACAGAGUGGAGGGUUUAAGGAGCAGACAGGUGAGGGGACACAGAGUGGGGGGUUUAAGGAGCAGACAGGUGAGCAGAUGGAGGUGGGGAAUGGGUCUAGU